rnacentral:rRNA from 1 species
UACAGGGGGGGGCAAGCGUUGUUCGGAAUUACUGGGCGUAAAGGGCUCGUAGGCGGCCAACUAAGUCGCACGUGAAAUCCCCAGGCUUAACCUGGGAACUGCGUGUGAUACUGGAUGGCUUGAAUCCGGGAGAGGGAUGCGGAAUUCCAGGUGUAGCGGUGGAAUGCGUAGAGAUCGGGAAGAACAUCAGUGGCGAAGGCGGCCUGCUGGGCUGUUGCUGACGCUGAGGCGCGACAGCGUGGGGAGCAAACAGG